GAAAUAUACAUCAUCCGAUAAAUUUGGAAAGACAUGGAGAAGAUUAGCAUGGCCCCUAUGCAAGGAUGACACACACAUCGAGAAAUGGUCCACAAUUUU
rnacentral:snRNA from 1 species